CACGUAGGGGGCAAGCGUUGUCCGGAAUUAUUGGGCGUAAAGCGCGUGUAGGUGGCCAUGUAGGCCCGCUGUGAAAACUCGAGGCUCAACCUCGAGCUGUCGGUGGAAACCACAUGGCUAGAGUCCGGAAGAGGAGAGUGGAAUUCCUGGUGUAGCGGUGAAAUGCGCAGAUAUCAGGAAGAACACCAAUGGCGAAGGCAGCUCUCUGGGACGGUACUGACACUGAGACGCGAAAGCGUGGGGAGCGAACAGG
rnacentral:rRNA from 1 species